GCAUAAAGAACUUAUACAAAAAAUCCCAAAGUCAUUGCAUGCAUUUCUGAUUUGAUAUGAAUUUUCUAAAUUAGAAGUUCAUUUUGUGCAUAUUUUUGGUCAUUCCAUUACAUAGACCAGUUGAUAUACUUGAUCAUUGAUUUGAUGCUGGUUCUUUUGAGGACAUUGGAGGUAGUUUUUGAAGGUGUGAUAUGCAAAAGGUUGGGUCCUGGAUUGGUCAU
rnacentral:lncRNA from 1 species